rnacentral:rRNA from 1 species
CAGUCCUACGGGAGGCAGCAGUGAGGAAUAUUGGUCAAUGGUCGGGAGACUGAACCAGCCAAGCCGCGUGAGGGAUGAAGGUACAGAGUAUCGUAAACCUCUUUUGUCAGGGAACAAAGGCGGGGACGUGUCCCCGGAUGAGUGUACCUGAAGAAAAAGCAUCGGCUAACUCCGUGCCAGCAGCCGCGGUAAUACGGAGGAUGCGAGCGUUAUCCGGAUUUAUUUGGGUUAAAGGGCGCGCAGGCGGUCUGUUAAGUCAGCGGUCAAAGCCCGGGGCUCCACCCC